GACGAACGCUGGCGGCGUGCCUAAUACAUGCAAGUCGAACGAGAGCGACCGGUGCUUGCACUGGUCAAUCUAGUGGCGAACGGGUGAGUAACACGUGGGUAACCUGCCCAUCAGAGGGGGAUAACAUCCGGAAACGGAUGCUAAAACCGCAUAGGUCUUCGAACCGCAUGGUUUGAAGAGGAAAAGAGGCGCAAGCUUCUGCUGAUGGAUGUACCCGCGGUGCAUUAGCUAGUUGGUGAGGUAACGGCUCACCAAGGCCGUGAUGCAUAGCCGACCUGAGAGGGUGAUCGGCCACAUUGGGACUGAGACACGGCCCAAACUCCUACGGGAGGCAGCAGUAGGGAAUCUUCCGCAAUGGACGCAAGUCUGACGGAGCAACGCCGCGUGAGUGAAGAAGGUUUUCGGAUCGUAAAACUCUGUUGUUAGAGAAGAACAAGUGCUAGAGUAACUGUUAGCGCCUUGACGGUAUCUAACCAGAAAGCCACGGCUAACUACGUG
rnacentral:rRNA from 1 species